rnacentral:rRNA from 1 species
UGCGCAGGCGGAAUGAUUAGUCAGUGGUGAAAGCCCUCGGCUCAACCGAGGAACUGCCAUUGAUACUGUCAUUCUUGAGUACAGUUGUAGUGGGCGGAGUGUGUCAUGUAGCGGUGAAAUGCAUAGAGAUGACACAGAACACCGAUCGCGAAGGCAGCUCACUAAGCUGAAACUGACGCUCAGGCACGAAAGCGUGGGUAGCAAACAGGAUUAGAUACCCUGGUAGUC